GAGGCUAUUUUGGGGAGCGUAUCUCCUAUGAAUAUUUUCAUUGGCGCGAAAGGUAGUAAUUUGCAAGGUCGUGACCCCGUGGCCUACGCAACAUAGCGCGUGGUGCGGCGAAGUAGGUCAUGUGAUUUCAAGAAGUUUAGGUGGAUGUGAGGGAGGUGCUGGCUUCAUUUGUUGAUAGCAAUCAAUUGUGAUAUGAACUCCAGUGAGUGGACUGUUGGUUGUACAGAUGUGUACGGUGAUGUCGGGGCCGUCGAGGGAGGAGUGUGUCCCCGUGUCAGCCAUUACAGAAGUGGGAUAGUUGAUACAACACGUGGCCACAACACCAGGACGCUUUUACUGGGAUAGACAUCUGAGGAUGACACACAUGGCUAGCUGUCGGCCCCUCACAGACAGUUGCCCGACACGGUCGGAAGUUUCUACCGGAAGUACGUACUUCUAAAAUGGUGUUUCAGCCAGCUGUGUCACGUGAUCCACAACAUCUCGUACUACAUGAUCACGUUUCCUUGUCACUGUUUCGUCCCGUGUGUUAAGCGAGACUGGACGGAAAACUGAUAAGGGCACGUGUUGUGUUAAACUUCCUUGGCGUCGUCCUCACCAACUAUUUCACCUCCUUCCGGUCUUGUGCUUGGCAUCUGACUGUCCAAUGACCAAGCUGCAUUCCAAAUCACAGCCAAUCAGAUACAGUGCUGAUGGUUUCAACCGUCCGAUGACGUGGCUAUGGCGGAUGUCACCUUCACCUUCAGGGAUGGACAUAUAUAGGAGCGCAGUGCGCAGGACAGGACGUUGCGGUGCCGGGAGGUGGAAUAUUGCAGUUAAUGCAUGACUGAGUGAAUUCAUUCACCGUAACCACUGACGCAUGGCCUGUUGCACUUUGGUAAUUAUAGUUUCAAUGCAUGUGAUAUACUAUGUUAUUUUCACGCACGUCACAACGUCUUAAUUUCAUUACAAGUUUUUGUCACCAUGUCUUAUAUUCAGCUGUAUGGGGCCACAUACCAAUGUAGCUUUCGCCUACCCAGUGUGUGUGGCUCGGUGUCAGCCCCCUGGCCUGCUCCCACUGUCUCACAAACAUCCCCAGCCAGAUAGUCAAUAAGUACGGUGAGAGGGGAGCCCCCUGUCUCCCCCCAUGUGAUGUGUACAGACACGUCGCCGACAACCUGCUAACACCAGCCGCGGAGAAACCGCAACAUUAAUAUAUGGAUCAUUCCAAGGGAGGUAACUAGGACAAAGGUAAAAAUGUGUUAUCUUUCCCUAUCUCUUAUGUACUCAUCUUCCCAGCACGAAACCCGGGUGUAUUAUAUUCGCCUGUCAGCUCUCCUUGUUAAACUGAUCACUCUUUCAUGUUGGGACCAGCUACUGUCACUGGCUGUGUCUAUACUUGUCAUGGGAGGUGGAUGUUCAGCCUUCCCUCUCCACCAUACUGGGAGCACGUUACAAUGUAGGUCAGUUCACUGACACUCCCAGUCGAAUGUCGACAUACACUACCAAGCUCGAUUCAGACAUUGUUAGGUGAGUAAUAUACCAUUAUGUACUAGGGUUCCACCCCUCACUUAACCCAAUAUCUCUGCCUCUCAAACACCUCAAUAUUCUAACCCAUCAAAAUCACAGACCCAUUCACCCCCCCAACCCCAACCCCCCAACCCAAUCCCAUUUCACGUAACGGUCUCUCGCCCACCAGACCCUGCAAAACAAACCCACAACCAUAUCCUUCACAUCCCCACCUCCAGUCCACAUGACUGGAGCAACCGUCCAUUUCCUCCGAUCCCCACCAGGAAAUCAGCUAAUCAGGCACCAAACAGCCCACUAACCCAAGUCCUUUUAGUGGUUAUAUCCUCGAUGCUGAACUUGAUUGAGUCUUAAGAGUUUGCCUAUUGUCACAAACGUUUUACUUUCCUAGAUUUGAACCCGCCUGAGGAUUGACCACGCCCAGGAUCUACCCACAGCUGGUUCAGAUGUCACCGGCCGUCCUCAGGCGACUACAGACGACUCCAGUCAACUCGGCCUCUGCUUGUACACCUUAUCAGUUUUUCGUCCAAUAAUUUGUGUGACUGCAUGUUUGUGUGAUUGCAUGCAUGCCUGUGCGAGUUUUGUUGUGAGUUCGGGUGUUGAGAUUUUAUGAACGCUUGGUGACAGUCCUGGGUGUGUGCGAUUUCAGGUGUCGUGGGGUGGAAGCGGGUGGCGACGGUCGACAUCAUAUCACCAAUUUCACGUUUCCUUGUCACUUGUUCGUCCCGUGUGCUACUGGUCACUGGACGGAGAACUGAUAAGGGCUUGUGGGUGACCAACCGGCGGAAUGACCAAAGCCUAUUUCUACCGAAGUCACAAUGAGAGCGGAUACCCCGUGCCCCGCUGCUGGUACACGAUGCCGCGCCUGUCUCCUGUAUUAAUCGCACUUGACAAGUACACUGAUAAAUAAACGUUACCUUAACUUUGGUGUUCAAAUUUA